rnacentral:piRNA from 1 species
GAAAUGAAAAAGGCAGGACAGAAGAACAU